UACGUAGGGUGCGAGCGUUAAUCGGAAUUACUGGGCGUAAAGCGUGCGCAGGCGGUUUUGUAAGACGGAUGUGAAAUCCCCGGGCUUAACCUGGGAAUGGCAUUCGGGACUGCAAGGCUGGAGUGCGGCAGAGGAGACUGGAAUUCCUGGUGUAGCAGUGAAAUGCGUAGAUAUCAGGAGGAACACCGAUGGCGAAGGCAGCCCCCUGGGCUAACACUGACGCUCAGGCACGAAAGCGUGGGGAGCAAACAGG
rnacentral:rRNA from 1 species